rnacentral:lncRNA from 1 species
GUUGGUCGUGGCGGCCGUAAUUAUAGACCCUUCGCCAUUAAAAUGCUCCUGGGUUGCCCUAAGAGGAUAUUUGGUCCUUGGCUCCGCUGGGAUUCUGGUCCCUGCCCUGGUUAUCUACUCCACCCCUCUUUUAGCCUCAGCAGGUAUUUGGCUGCAUCGACGGGUUUUUGACUUUAUUCUCGCCCAAAUUGUUUGAAUUGGUACCCCUUUGGGGGAUCGGACUAGCCCUGCUGCGGACUCCUUCCCGAAGGCAACACUCAUUGUCCCGCCACCCCACCCUUCUGAGAACCUGCCCCCCACUCUCAGGAUGCUGCUGAAGCUGAGACACCCGGAGGCCCUCUAGUCAUCAGUGCUCCCGAAGUGGUCCAGCCUCAGGAGAUGGCCGGCCAGCGGCCCCUCGCUCCUGCGCCGUGAGGUCCUGCCGUGCGGUCCUGCGGCUAAGGAUCCUGACAGUGUAUUAUUUCAGCUUUCUCUCUGUAACUGUUCUGAUUCUGCAAGAACGUGUCAAUGUGUCGUGGAUCUCAGACUAAUUAGUUUUGAAAUGGAGUUUUGAUUGAACUCUUCAAAUCGAUGCUGCUGCAAAAUUUGUUUCUCGGGCUUCCUAUUAAAAGCCAUCUUAAGGGGCAGUUUUACUACUCUCCCUGUCGUUCAGUCGAUACAUUUAAUAACAACUUACAGGCUAUUUUCAAUAAAGUGGCGACAGCAAAUUAGUAGUUUGAACAUGACAAGCCUCUUCUGCAAGACCAGAUUCUGAAAACUCAAAGCAAUUAUUUUCCUAUAGAGGCAUGUGCCACAGUCCUUCCCACUAUGGGGUCUUCUGUAGGAGCACGUCCCCUGGUUUGACACCCAUGGCACUUUAUGACUUUAUUUGGACAAGGAAGAAAUGCAAGUAUUCAUGUUUAUGCUGACACCACCGGCGUGUGCACUUGCACGCCCUGAUACUUUUGUUUUUCCCUGUUGGACAGGGCCUCUCUGACCUUGCUUGCUUGUUCCCGGAGCACCUUCCGGGGUGAACGCAUUUUGGUCUGUCUCAUCCAUACGGGUGGCUAGUACAGAGGGACGCCCCAAGGCGAAGAAAGCCCCCAGCUGGAGUCUACAGAAGCCAGCACAGCCCCGGUUCGGGGUUGGUGGCCCCGUUUGGUGCGCCUGUGGAAGGAGGACGGCCUCCCGUACACGGCUUCCUCCAGGAGCCCACACUUGCCUGUGUCUCCCUCCUCCCCAGCCUCUCCGUCUCCCCCUCCUCCCCCCAUGGCAGAUGUUGUGGUCUCAUUUGAUUGCAUAGGAAAACUGCAGUGAUACAGCAAACACCCAGAGAGAUAUGAUGACAAAUGGGUCCAGAUCCCGGUAAAUUACUUUCUGCUCAAAUCGAAAUUUCAUUCAGUUUGUUGCUAGCAGAGAUGAAGUAAUCUAAAUUGUGGACUCAGGAGCAGAUAGAGGGAAGUUGGAGCAAGCAUUUCAUUAUCAAGAGAGAGAGAAGGUUAGGAUGAAAGAGAUGAGCAGAGGCAAAUCUUAAGUGUUGACACCAUGAUUGAAAAGGUUAACCCAUCCGCAUUAUAUAUCAACCUGGUAGCAGAGAGUUUCUAAUGGAAAGUCUGCACUGAUGGAGGUUUACCCGAGUUUCAAUACACCGAGCAUGAUGUCUUCUUAGAUAUACAAUCAAAUCCUCUUAACCCUUUUGAUGACUCAUAUCUCAAGAUAUGAUUAAAGUACAAAAGAGUUCUUCAUAUAAUUUCAAGGACACCAUGCAUUUAAACUCCAGGCAUGAAUUGUAUCUGUGUGUGUGUGUGUGUGUGAUGAACUCGGUAAUCUGAUAAAAUGUGUGUAGAACAGAAUUGUUUGGUAUUUGCUAGAGGCGUAAGUCAACAUCCUGAUUAAACCCGGGGCAUCUUCUUCUCUGCGGUAGGCAGAAGUGAGUUGGGACCCCCAAAAGGAUUUUUUUUCCCAGAUCAUGCAAAUCGCUCCUAAAAUCCGAGGCCUGAGCCUCAGCAUUCAGCCUCUGUCAAAUACAUUCCAAGGGGAGGGCCAGAGGCUGGGGGUGGGGGGGGGGUGGGGGGGCGUGCUUCCUCUGCUUCGGUUUCCAGUAUUCAUCAGUGUCCCGUCAUCUCUGUUGCAGGUUAUUUGGGAAUAGCGGUGCUUGCAGUGCUUGUGGACAGUCUAUUCCUGCGAGCGAGCUGGUCAUGCGGGCCCAAGGCAAUGUGUAUCAUCUGAAGUGUUUUACAUGCUCUACCUGCCGGAAUCGCCUGGUCCCAGGAGAUCGGUUUCACUACAUCAAUGGCAGUUUAUUUUGUGAACAUGAUAGACCUACAGCUCUCAUCAAUGGCCAUUUGAAUUCACUUCAGAGCAAUCCACUACUGCCAGACCAGAAGGUCUGCUAAAAGGUCAGAGUGAUGCAGAAUGCGUGCCUUCAUCUCAGAUUUUGUUCAUCGCAGGUGGAUCCCCUGUGUCUUCAGUAGACAAGUCACCUUUGUAGCACCAGUGCCAGCUCCAUGCCAUUGCACCUUCUUUAGUCUUGAUUGCCCUUCCCGCAUUUAUUGGUGUAUUAAAAUGACUGAAUAUGAACAUUAAGGACGCCAUGAACCUGGGCUAAUGGGAGACUGUAGAGAAAAUGAAAAAAGAUCCACCGGAGGACAUCUUUGGGGGGGAGGGAGCUUGGGAGGAGGGAGAUGACUAAUGAAGCUAAUUAAAAGAAGCAUUCAAAUCUGCUUUCUACCCUCAUUAACAAUUAGCAGGGCACUGGCCAGAGUUGGCACCCUGCGUUUUACCUUUCCAACAUUCUCUUUGCUCUUUGUAUAUUUAAGUGUCGUAAGGAAAUGUGUUUCAAUCAAAACUGAACAUGAGAUAAAGGAAAGAUGUGGCUUUUGUGAUAUUCUAUCACAAACACUUUUAUUGUAUCUCUCUGUAAAAUACAAUGUAUGUAUAUGCAUGUAAGUGUUUUUGUCCUGAUGUUGCUACUCCCAUGGCAAAGGAAAAAAAAAGAAUGAAAAAAAGAAAAAAAAAA